rnacentral:misc_RNA from 4 species
AACGCACAUUGCGCCCCUUGGUAUUCCAUGGGGCAUGCCUGUUCGAGCGUCAUUUGUACCUUCAAGCUUUGCUUGGUGUUGGGUGUUUGUCUCGCCUUUGCGUGUAGACUCGCCUUAAAACAAUUGGCAGCCGGCGUAUUGAUUUCGGAGCGCAGUACAUCUCGCGCUUUGCACUCAUAACGACGACGUCCAAAAGUACUUUUUUACACUCUUGACCUCGGAUCAGGUAGGGAUACCCGCUGAACUUAA